rnacentral:misc_RNA from 1 species
AUUCAGUAGUAUAACAUAUAAAUCUAAUAGAAAGAUCAUUUUAACUUCAUCUAUUAAAAUUGCAAAUAAAGAGUACCUAUUAUCCAGAUUUAUAAGUCUCUGGCUAACUGAAAACAGCACAUCAACUAGCAUCUGUUGAGUAAUGGUAACAUCUGGAUCUUUGAGAUCCAUGUAGAUAUAAUGGUACGUCCAUCUGUACACAAGUGUUACUAUACUGUAGCAAUUGCAAGAUGAAAUACAGAAUGUGAGAGCAACAAUGAUAUUAAGCCCCUAUGAGCAACAGAAAUAUCCAGUGAUUCUAUUUGCUUAUAAAAGAAUGUACAAGGUACCAUCAUUUGCUGUCCUUUAACAGAAACUGGGAGAUGAUAGCUUACUUUCAUGAAGCAUCAUCUUUCAGUGGAAGAUCAUAAAUUGUAGACAGAAUGAAGUUCCCUUCUCGCGCAUUAGACUCGAUAAGCAUCAAUACAACUUCACGCAUUGACGGACGAUCAAAUGGUGACAUGCUUGUACACAUCAAAGCAAUUUUCAGUACACAAAUCAUGUGAUCAACAGUACUUUGAUCUUUGAGGUCUAAUCUACUGUCAAGUAUCCCAGAUGACAAUGAAUGGCUGCGGACAUAAUUUCUCACCCAUGUCACAAGAUCACCUCCUUGAUCUAGUGGCUGCACAGGAAUUUUCCCAGUCAACAACUCCAACAGAACAACUCCAUAGCUAUAGAUAUCACAUUUUUCUGUUACUUUCAUUGUGUAUGCAUACUCAGGAGCAAUAUACCCAUAUGACCCUGCAACUGCUGACAUUGAUUUAGACUGAGGCAUGUCAAUUACUUUAGCCAAACCAAAAUCACCAACAUGAGCUUCAAAAUUAUCAUCAAGUAGAAUAUUAUUGGACUUUAUAUCACGAUGAAUUAUUCUCGGUUUGCAGUCAUGAUGUAAAUAGGCAAGACCUUCAGCAGCACCAAGUGCAAUCAUGUACCUUGUUGGCCAUUCCAAGCUGCAAGAGGGCCCAUGAAGCAGUUCACCCAAGCUUCCCCUAGCCAUGUACUCAUAAAGAAGCAGAUUGGAACCCUGGUGAUAGCAAAAUCCAUAAAGCUUCACAAUGUUCCGGUGCCUGAUCUUUCCCAGAGUCACAAUCUCCGCCUGAAAACUGUUCUCUACGUUGCUCCCCUCUCUGUCAGAUGCUAGUCUUUUCACAGCAAUGGUUUGUCCAGUAUGCAUAACUGCCUUGUAGACUGUUCCACAAGCUCCCCUUCCUACAACAUAACUAUCAUGAAAAUUGUUUGUGGCCUCAACCAGAUCUUGUAAAGUGAAUCCCUCCUUUGGAGGGAAGUAGAUAUCCGAUUCUGGAGAUGAACUUUCAUUGUCACGUAUGGAAGGAACUGAUUCAGCUGGGCGUCUCAUGAAAUAUAAUAUUACUACAAUUAGAAUCAGAGAAACUCCACCAACAGCAGCUGCAACAAUUGUGAUUAUUCUACCCUGAGGAGCAUCCAUGCUUUUCAAAGGAGGGACAGAUAAUGAAUCUCCAUUGCAAUAGCCAAGAUGCCCACCACAAAGCCCAUUAUUCCCUAGGAAACUGCCAACUGCCAUGUUCUGAAAUAGUGGUACGGGAGGUAAGGGUCCAGUAAGGUUAUUAUAUGAAAAGUUGCACCCAAGUAAACUUGAAAGAUUUUCAAAUGUUUCUGGAAUUUCACCAGUCAAAUGAUUAUUAUUGAGAAAGAGGAACUCCAACAAAUUAAGAUUGCCCAGUUCUGGCGGUAUGCUCCCAGUCAGAUUAUUAUUACUGAGAUUCAUUGCAAUCUGCAAGCUUGAAAGAGAACCCAACUCUGGAGGAAUUUCACCAGAAAAUAAAUUGCCACCCAUCUGCAAUUCAGUCAAGUGAGAGAGAUUUCCCAAUGCUGGAGGUAUAUUCCCAGAGAAUUUAUUUUCUGAAAGCUUGAGAAGCUCUAACUGCAGAAGGGUUCCAAGCUGUUCUGGUAAAGCAUCUACAAAGCUGUUGUGGCUGAGAUCAAGUCGUUGAAGCAUCUUGCAGUUAACAAUUCCAGGUGGAAUCUGUCCUUUGAGCAAAUUAGAAGAGACGUUAAAAGUCACAAGUUGAGACAGAUUACCUAUUUCCUUAGGCAGCUCAUUAGUGAAGUAAUUGUUUGCAAUAUGAAGCCUCUGCAACUUCUGACAGUUGCCAACGGCCGGAGGAAUCGGACCACUAAACUUGUUCUGAUCCAAUUCAAUGGCAGAAAGGUUCGUCAACUUGCACAUCUCCGAAGGAAAGCUACCUGUAAGCCUGUUUCUAACAAGCCGAAGCUGUACCAAUGAUCUGCAGUUCAAGAUACCAUUUGGGAUGUUCCCAUAAAAGCCGUUUGCCUCCAGAUUCAGCAACAUCAGGUUAGAAUGCCGACAAAGAUGAGGAGGUAUUCUUCCUGUCAGAUAAUUGUCUGAAAAAUCCACCACCCAAAGUCGACUGUAAAGUCCAAGCCCCUGAGGAAUACUGCCACUAAGGGAGUUAUUGAAAAGCUGUAGUUGAAUCAUUUCUGUCAAGUAUUGAAAACCCAAAGGAAUAGGACCUUUGAGAUAAUUAAUUGAAAGGUCAAGCUUUGUCAAGUUCCUCAAGCUACUAAGCUCAUUUGGUAUAACACCAAUAAGCUGAUUCUGGAAGAGGUAUAGAAGUCGCAGACCUUUUAUCUUACUGAACUCCGUAGGGAUCUCCCCUGUCAACUGAUUCUCUGAGAAAUCAAUUUCCGUUGCCAUAGAUAAAUUCCCAAUUUCUCUUGGAAUGGUUCCAUUCAACUCAUUUCUGUAUAGAUAGAGUUCCUUCAGAAACUUCAUGUUCCCAAUUUCCACUGGUAUCGAUCCCACAAGAUUGUUUGCAUAUAAAGCAAGCGUCUCUAUGUUUGUACAGUUAGCAAUCUCCUUUGGUAUAUAUCCUGUGAGUUGGUUACCCCACAAAAUUAAAUCAGUCAAGCUCCCAAGCAUCCCAAUUUCUUUUGGCAGCUCCCCUCCUAUGGCAUUUUGGGCAAGACCAAGUAAUUGUAAGCUUUGACAUCCACUUAUUUCCACUGGAAUGCUACCAGAAAUUCCAUUCUGCCCUGCACGAAAGGUUUUCAAGUUCUUGAGAUUCCCAAUAGAGUGAGGCAAUGGACCAGUCAGAUUGUUGGUGUAAGCCACAACCUCAACCAAUGAAGACAAAUUCCCAAACUCCUCUGGAAGAGAACCAGAUAUUCUGUUAUUGCAUAUAUUCAAACGCUGAAGAAGAGACAAAUAACCCAGCUCUGCAGGAAGUUGUUCACUAAACUGAUUAUUGUUUAGAUAUAGAUAUUGCAACUUUGAACAAUUUCCAAUGGUGUUAGGUAUACGUCCACUGAGCAUGUUGUAAGAAAGAUCAAGAUAUCUUAGGUUGACCAAGCCACCGAUGCUGGGACUCAGGAUCCCAGACAAAUUCGUCGCACUCAAAUUGAGAGAUUGGACCACAGGCUCAUAAUCUGAAGUGCAAUUCACGGCGAUCCACCCACAUGGUGUCUGGUCAGUGGAUUUCCAGUUAUUCAAAUGAUCAAAUUCAUCAUGAAUGCUAUUCUUUAGAUCCAGGAGGUAGUGCCCCUCAGAAUUCAACCCCUCAGAAGUACAAACCAAUAGCAAGAGCCAAAAUACUGUAAACCCUGCUUCAAAAGUUCUACUUGACAUUCUAGUAUCCCUCAGCUUGAUCAUGAUUAUAGCAUAAUAUGAUAAUUCCGAACCUGCACGUAUAAAGCUACUUCAGAUUGGAAUUGCCAAAGAACAUUCAACAAAAUACGAGUAUAUUUUAUGAGAAUAAGAUCAACUGACACACUGAAUUGAUGAUGAUAGGAAUAUCUUCUAUAUAGACACUGUUUAACAAGCCAUUCAAACUCUGCAAGGAAUUCAGUGCAAAUAUAUAGAGUGACAGAAAAACCAAAUUGAUAUUUGAAGCCCAGAAAUUCAGUCACCUAACGAUUUGAAGGAAAUCAAGAACAUAAGAAGGAGUAAAAGAACUCAGCAAGGCACUAACUCUAAAUUUUAGAAACCUAACAAACCAUAAUCACCUUAUUUACAUGAAUACUUAUAUUAAACCGUCAAAGAAGCAAAUUUAAGGAAACAAAUAAACCAGCAAUACAGAAAUAGAGAGACUAACCUGUUUAAGCCAAGUAAUCAAUCAAUCAAUCACUCAUCAAAGAAGAGAUAGUAAAAGCAAUAACUGCACCACUUUGCUGUUACACAUUGAGACACAAAAAGAAAGAUACCGUGGAAUUCAUGAAUCGAGAGAGAAAACCAAAACAAACCCAGUUCACCUUUAGCCACAAAUGGCGCGGAUCUUUGGAUCUCAAGGCCAAAGAUUUUGGACCCAAAAAAACUCUCUCUCCUGCUUUUGAGAAACCAAACAAACAACCAAAAGUGGAACGAACCAAAAAAGAGAGAUUUUUUUAAGGAUUUACAAUAGAGAUAUUGCAACGAAACGAAAGCACAUGAAAAGGAACGAGCUUUAGCUCGUCCCUUGAAGCUUUAAUGGCCGACAAGGCAUGCUCUCAUUUCCUCUAUCCCUCUGUAUAUAGACGGUAGACCUUUCCAUCUCUCCCUUUCUUUCUACUUAACCCAAUAUAAAUGGUAAUGGACUAGUGGUAUAAUGCUCUCUUUUAUUGCUGUUUCCUCUAUCUCUCUCUGUAGGAGUGGGGAUGGAUUGGUGGGCUUGGCUGGCUGGCUGGCUAUAGUUAGUUGUAGUUUCU